AUCUAUGGUCACACAACCCUGAACACACCUGAUAUCAUCUGAGCUCGGAAGCCAAGUGGGUUACAGUAUGAUAAAAAAAAUCACUGUCCGUU
rnacentral:rRNA from 1 species